UACGGAGGGUGCGAGCGUUGUCCGGAAUCACUGGGCGUAAAGGGCGCGUAGGUGGCGGAGCAAGUCAACGGUGAAAGCUCGACGCUCAACGUCGAGUCGGCCGUCGAUACUGCUUUGCUGGAGCACUGUAGAGGCUCAUGGAAUUCCGGGUGUAGCGGUGGAAUGCGUAGAGAUCCGGAAGAACACCAGCGGCGAAGGCAGCACUCUGGGCUGGAACUGACGCUGAGGAGCGAAAGCGUGGGUAGCAAACAGG
rnacentral:rRNA from 1 species